AAACUUAGAUUUGAAUUGGAUACCAUAUAGAUAAUGUUUGACAUUAUCUAUAAAACCUUGUUGCCAACUUAUUUUUUUCUCCUUAUGUGUGUGAUAUUUUAAGGAGCUUUUCCUCAUAAAAAAUUAGAUGGAGAAUUGAUUUACUGUAAAAAAUUACAGGAUGGGGUGUCCCAUAUUUUUUUGGGCAUGUUUUGGUGUGAAUAGAAUAGAGGAGGCAACAUCUUGUAAGAGUCCAUGAUCUCUAGGACUCUUCACCCUUAUUUCUUACAUGCCAAUAAAAAGGAGUUUUUAUUUUUGUUUUGAGUGUGUA
rnacentral:lncRNA from 1 species